UUUGAAAUCUGGCUCUCGGGCCCGAGUUGUAAUUUGUAGAGGAUGCUUUUGGUGAGGUGCCUUCCGAGUUCCCUGGAACGGGACGCCAUAGAGGGUGAGAGCCCCGUCUGGUUGGACGCCGAACCUCUGUAAAGCUCCUUCGACGAGUCGAGUAGUUUGGGAAUGCUGCUCUAAAUGGGAGGUAUAUGUCUUCUAAAGCUAAAUACCGGCCAGAGACCGAUAGCGCACAAGUAGAGUGAUCGAAAGAUGAAAAGAACUUUGAAAARAGAGUUAAACAGUACGUGAAAUUGUUGAAAGGGAAGCGCUUGUGACCAGACUUGGGCUUGGUUGAUCAUCCGGGGUUCUCCCCGGUGCACUCUUCCGGCCCAGGCCAGCAUCAGUUCGCCCUGGGGGACAAAGGCAUCGGGAACGUGGCUCUCUCCGGGGAGUGUUAU
rnacentral:rRNA from 1 species